CCGGCAGUAGUUCAGUGGUAGAAUAAACCUUGCCAAGUUGGGGCGCGGGUUCUGAAUCCCGUCUUCCGCU
rnacentral:tRNA from 1 species